rnacentral:rRNA from 1 species
GACAGAGGGGGCAAGCGUUGCUCGGAAUCACUGGGCGUAAAGGGCGCGUAGGCGGGAUGGCAAGUCAGUCGUGAAAUCUCUCGGCUCAACCGAGAAACGUCGGCUGAUACUGCCGUUCUUGAGGGAUGCAGAGGAGACUGGAAUUCCCGGUGUAGAGGUGAAAUGUGUAGAGAUCGGGAGGAACACCAGUGGCGAAGGCGACUACCUGGCCUGUUCUUGACGCUGAGGCGCGAAAGCUGGGGGAGCAAACGGG